AGUGAACGCUGGCGGUAGGCCUAACACAUGCAAGUCGAACGGCAGCACAGUAAGAGCUUGCUCUUAUGGGUGGCGAGUGGCGGACGGGUGAGGAAUACAUCGGAAUCUACUUUUUCGUGGGGGAUAACGUAGGGAAACUUACGCUAAUACCGCAUACGACCUACGGGUGGAAGCAGGGGAUCUUCGGACCUUGCGCGAUUGAAUGAGCCGAUGUCGGAUUAGCUAGUUGGCGGGGUAAAGGCCCACCAAGGCGACGAUCCGUAGCUGGUCUGAGAGGAUGAUCAGCCACACUGGAACUGAGACACGGUCCAGACUCCUACGGGAGGCAGCAGUGGGGAAUAUUGGACAAUGGGCGCAAGCCUGAUCCAGCCAUACCGCGUGGGUGAAGAAGGCCUUCGGGUUGUAAAGCCCUUUUGUUGGGAAAGAAAAGCAGCAGGUUAAUACCCCGCUGUUCUGACGGUACCCAAAGAAUAAGCACCGGCUAACUUCGUG
rnacentral:rRNA from 1 species